GCCUUCUCCCUCAAUAAAAGAACAAGAAAAAAAACAGGCGAACUCGGCCGUUUUUGGCCGGCGUCCGGGACGGCGGCGGCGGCUUCUCUCCCCGUCGAUCACCACACAGCCGAACCACCCCUACGCGACGCAAGGCGCCAUGACACCCUACCAUUACUCUAUUGGUAGAAUGGUAUUCUUGAAUAUUUAUAUUUUUGUCGCCGUGUAUCUAUGUGGACUGGGAGAAGGUUCCGCAAGCUAACUUGCAUAGUUUUUUCGGGGCCUAUUGAGGCAGAAGUAUGUUAUUCCAAUUGUAUAUUAUAUUAAUAUAAGGAAGAAAUACCCUUAUGAGUUGGAUAGGUUGCAAAAAAACAAUCCCUUCCAG